UUGAUCAUAAUGGAUAAAGUUUACCAUCAUAAUUUAAAAGUUUCCUAAAUAAUAAAGUGUACUAAAUGUUAUAAAUCAUGGUAUAAAUACAAGUGUUUAAAAUCCAAAAAAAUGAUAUAAAUCAUAAAUGUGAGUGAAACUUGGUUUCCAAGUAUAGAAAAGUCCAAAACAAUUUUGUUUAAGGCUAAAAGUGUCAAAGGGACUUUUCUAGACACAAAAGAUAUCAAAAGGGGCAAUUUUGGAAAAUUUGUGCUGUUCAUUGCGGCUAACGAUAGGUGCACCACGACAAACAUCAUAGCGAAGGUAAAUUGCGACCAACAACUCAUUGUGUCGUGUGCUGCGGUUAAACAACCAUGCAUAAUGAUGGAAGUGCACAUAUAAUACUUAUGACAUAAUGAAUAGUAACUAUGAAUUUUAAUCAUACAUAAUUCUCACUAUAAAUGUCUCAUUUGGGUGAUUCAGGUGUUUCCUCCAUAUCGGACUUUUAUCCACAAAACCUAUUAAGGGCCACAAAACCCGACUUCCAAACAUUUCACUUUACAAACUAGCACUAAAGCUUAUAGCCUUAUGUGAACAACUUGACAACAACAUUGAUGAUCCAAACAACAUCUACAACUCAACAAUUUAUUCAUGCACAUAAAAUUUUCAUAGUUGGAUUACAGUCUCCCAACACAAUUUAUAUAUAACUAAACAUAAAUUACUAUAAGUAAAUCUCAUCUUCUAAACAUUUUUUAACACGUCAGUUAUAUUCAAAUGAAACUAUGAGUAUCAAAAUCUACCUCAUGGCUAACGCCAGACAUGUUCAUCAAAAAUUAAGAGCUUAUAUGCUCAAGUACACAAUACAAGCCUUAUGGUUGGCAAUUUAUACAUUUAACAUCUAAAUGAGGCCUAACAAGACAUAGUGUCCCACACACUACCACUAUGCCUUCAGUGAUUCUCUAGCUGGACCUGCUUUUGUAAAAAUGUUAACCAUAAGGAAAGAGAUACAAAGAUCCUAGUAACUAAUUCCUAGUAACUAAUACUACUAUGUCAUGAUGCAUGUAAUGUAACUAAUUAUGCGUCCACUAAGUGGACAUACAAAAUAUAUCUUCAAACAAUUUAUAUGCAAGCAAACCAAACAAUGGAUGCAUUACUAGCAACUUAUUUCCUCCUUUCUUAAUAUACCAAAUUUUGUGCUUGACACUUAACCUACCUAGCAAAAGGUAAGUCAGUUCAAGUUGUAGAAGCCACUCAUUGUGUCUAAAUGAGGGCAUACCAUGUAACACUAGUUCAAAUGUCAAUAAUAAGUCUCCCUUCUAAUAAAACCUGCACAUGACAUGCAUGCAGGAUCUCUGAACAACUAAAACUGCUAAUAGUAAACCAUUUUUCCACCACAAUCAUAAUUUCAUUCCAAAGAUAAUCAUAUAAAAUUUAUCAUCCCCCUAUCAAUAAUGUUUCCAAACAAUAGAUAUACAUUUCCCAUAUAAUACUUCAAUAGGCAUUAUCAUAAAAAGCAGACACAUAUCUAAUCACAUGACACACACUACAACAUAGUAGCAGAGGUUACCUUUAGCAUGUAAAUUUUGUCAAACAAGCGAUCUUUCACCUUCAACAAUGCUAACACCACAAUACAAUGCAAUACUAAUUAUCAUUAAUACAAGUUUUUAAUCACUAAUCAUAACUUAAUCAUAGGAUUAGUUAAUAAAUCUCAUAAUCUUAAUACUCUCACAUGAUUUAAUCAUUAAACUUAAUCAUCCUCAUCUCAUUACAUUUCUUAAACUUAAAUUUAACCUUAAAACACACUAAUCAUCAUUCAACUAGUCUAGGGUUUUGGAUUAACCCAUAUCAGUAUGAUUAUCAUCAUCAAACCAACUUAAACAACACGUAUUUAAUGUCAAACAAGCUUAUAAGUUUGAACCUAAAGGCUCCCCCCCCCCAAAAAAAAAGGAAAAAGAAAAGCUUAACAUUACUCCCAUAGAACUAGCUCAAAUAGGAUAUUUGAGGGUGGGAAGAAGGUUAGAUAGAGUAUUGUGGUCAAAAAGCCAAAAAAUUCUUAUUCCUGAGCAUCUCUCCGCUAAUGGUGUUUGGAUAGGUGAAAAAAUGGUAAAUAUUCCCCUAAACUUAGGUAUACACUGGAGUACGCGCAUCAGCAUCCUAUGAUCAGGACAGCUCCAAGCACGUCCUCAGGGUUCCCAAUGAUUCUUUAGAAGCAGCGGAUCCUCUAUGUCCGAUUUGCAAAUUUCAUUUGGAGACCAUAGAGCAUUUAUUACUACUUUGUGAAUGGUCAAGGGAAAUAUGGUGUGGCUCGCCCCUGACAUUAAUCAUGGAUCCAAUGCGUGUCUUCUUUUGAAAACCGGUGCUGCUUUUUUCUGGAGGAUAAUAAUCUAAUUGAUGAUUAUGAUAAGCCUUACAUGCCGUGUUUAUGUUGGAACAUAUGUAAGGAAGACCAGAUUUGCAUCAGUUUUCAAUACUGCUGCAUUAAAUCCAUCUCACGUUAUUUGUUCAACUAAUGCUGGUGUAGAGGAAUAUUGGAAGAGUAACCAUUAUGAGCCCUUUAUUUCUUCUGCUACUGAGACUUUCAACUCUGCUUGGACACCUCUAAAAUUUGGGACCAUAAAAAUCAGUAGUGGUGGAGCUUUCUCGCGUGUUACUAACAAGGCUACAAUCGGUGUCAUUGCUAGGGAUGGCUUUGGCAUGUUUCUAAGGGGAUGGAGAGAGCUUGUUGAUGUGAAUUCAAGUUUCUUGUCUGAACUUUUAGGUUGUAGGAAGGCAAUUCAUCUAGCGUCUGACUUCAACAGAAGCAAAGUCAUUAUUGAAUUUGAUCGUCUUGAGCUUUUUCGAGCUAUAUUAUGCAUAAAGAUGUAAUCUAUUGCUCUUGGUCCUUUCAUGGGUUACUAGAAGAUAUGUUGAUCACUCUUGAGUCCUUGCAUUUUCUCUCUUUCUCGUUUAUCAAAUGGGGUGGGAACUCUGUUGCUAACUAGUUAGAGCCUCUUCUUUAAAAGGAGUGGAUUCAAAUGGGUAGGUUUCCGGCCCACCACGCCCUCUUGCAGCUAUUAUUGCUAAGGACUCAGAUCAUCUUCAAUCAUCUUGCCAGCAUAUUGUGCUGAGCAGAGAUAGAGAAGGCAUUGGUUGACUUUGUGGCUUGGUUUUGUUUUCUUUGUUUUAGGUCUCUGCCACAUUGGCUUAUGACUUUUCUUGCUGUUUUAUGAUCUGUUUUGCUUUCUGUCUAGGCUUUGUAGACUCUGUUUGCUCCUUUUUCAAGGAAGGAUUUUCUGCUGUU